AAAAGUCUGUGAAAAUCAUCAGAAACAAAAUCAAUUGGCAUGUAAGAAAAUCAUCUAACGAAUGAUUAUCAGAAUUAAAAUUAAGAGCAACAUUUUAUGAAAAACUAGGAUCAGUAAUGCUUCGUAUUGUAAAUCUAUGACUGUUUACGCUUACUCAGAGGCUGAGAAGCCUGUCCAACAUAUUGUAUAUUACAUUUUUACAAGAAAUUAAAUAAAUAACUUUUUUUUUGUUAAGCAGUUCCUAUUUGAUCGCAGUUGAGGUAAGUUAACGCUAGCUCCGCGAGAAUGGCGUCCUGUGUUCUUGUUUUGAAUGCGGGCCAUCAAAACUGGAAAAACAGUAACCCAAGGAUACCUUAAAACCUAUUGCUGAAAAUAUCCUUUUUUGGAACGUGCUGUUGUAAAAUCUUUAUCAUCUGGCAGUCUGUUUCGAUAACAUAAAGGGUAAGUGAAUAACAUUUCUUAGUUUUAUUCCAUGGUUAAUAAUAAAGUGCCUGCCCGAUACACUAUACUUUUUAUAAAUAUAGUUUAGUUACCAUAGAUUUAGAGAAGAUACUGAGCAUUUUAAGAUACAUAAAUUUAAAAUUAAUUGUUUUUAAUUUCAGGGAAAAGAUCUAGCUGGCCAUUUGUAACCUUACUAAGGCAGAACAUAAAUGUAUUUGAAAAUACAAUGUGAUUUUUAUCAUAAGACUUGAACACUUUUGUGUUUAUAGUAAUAUAGGUGAAGCAACCUUUAAUACUAUUUGAAAGUUGACGGUGAUUGUAUGACAUUAAACAAGAUUGUAUUAUACAUAAUACAGGUCUAAAACUAUUCCUCAACUUAUAUUUUCUGAUAACUUUUGUUGUAUUCUGGCAUGAAGUUCUUUAAAAAUAGUCUCGAUCCUUCAUCAUGUGUUCACGAUUUUCAUGUAUGAAAUCUGACUUGACCAGCAAGGUGUGCACAGUGCAUUUCGUGGUUAUUCUUUAUGCGAGAGAUUUUGUUUACACGCCGUGAUUUUUAUUUUUUAUUGCGAGGGAUCGGUAAUGGAUAUAAAAGAUCGAACUAACGGAUUUUCUUUAUAGAUUGGAAAGUUAACCAUAGUUUCAAAGGAAUCUGAGAAGUAUAGAAUUCAACUUGAAAGACAAGAAAGAAAGCAAGAUAUCUGGAUAUGGAUAUAUCAUUGACGUUUACAUGGUUUUUAAGAACGGUUUUCGUCAUUUUGUCGUUUGUUGCAGUAACGGACUGUCAACAUUUAUGUAAAAGUAUAGGUUGGGUUGGGUGUGCUGACACAGGAUGUUCGCGGGAAGAAAACGGGGUAUGUGAAAAUUUCGGAACGAGGCCCGACAAUUUAUGCCUUUGCGUUAUAAAACAAUGAUAUUUGUAAACACAUCAAGAUGUGCCAAACAGUUGUCGCAGAUAAUUUGCCGAUUCCACGAAAUCAUGAUUGAUGAAAAAUUUCGCAUGGAAGAUAUGUCGCAAUAAAGAGCUUAAUUGUGUGUUGUUUUUUUUUGUAAUGAUAGAAGGACGACACGACUGGUGCUAGCCAAACCAAUGUUUUAAGACAUUCAUAUUUGAAGGAAAAAUCGCGGAGGAGAUAUAAUUUAUACGGAUAAAAGUGCACAUUUCACGACGAAAAUAAAAGUCAGCGGACUUAGAUGACCUCUUCUAACAACAGCAUUACUAUGAAUGUUUGAUAUAAAGUUUCUGUGAUAUGCUAUUUAUAAUUUAUUCUGUGUGAUAUUAUAUCAUUUACCAAUCACUUUAUUUCACAUUGUUAAAGUUCGAUGUUGUGUUAUAUAUUUAACAAUGUACUUAUUAUGGAAAUUAUUUUCAAAUGUCACUCUUCAACAUUUAUUUAUUAUAUGAUUACAAAACGGGAAUAUACACUGAGGGUAACGUUGUGAUAAAUAAAUGGAAUAAAAGUGUA